GACGAACGCUGGCGGCGUGCUUAACACAUGCAAGUCGAACGGAAAGGCCCUGCUUUUGUGGGGUGCUCGAGUGGCGAACGGGUGAGUAACACGUGAGUAACCUGCCCUUGACUUUGGGAUAACUUCAGGAAACUGGGGCUAAUACCGGAUAGGAGCUCCUGCUGCAUGGUGGGGGUUGGAAAGUUUCGGCGGUUGGGGAUGGACUCGCGGCUUAUCAGCUUGUUGGUGGGGUAGUGGCUUACCAAGGCUUUGACGGGUAGCCGGCCUGAGAGGGUGACCGGGCAGCUGGGGAGAGAGAUGCGCCCCAGACGGAAGCGGGCGGCAGCAGGGGGGAAUGUGGCACGAUGGCCGGAAGCCUGAAACAGGAACGCCGCGGGCGGGAAGACGGACUGAGGUUUGUAAACCGCGAUCCCCGGUGACGAAGCGGGAGAGACGGUAAUGAAAAAAGGGACAACGACAAACUACGUC
rnacentral:rRNA from 1 species